CCAGUCUCCAGAUGUCCACAGCAAGC
rnacentral:piRNA from 1 species